AUUGAACGCUGGCGGCAGGCUUAACACAUGCAAGUCGAGCGAGAGGCGGACGGGUGAGUAAUGUCUGGGAAACUGCCCGCUGGCGGGGGAUAUCUCCUGUAAAAGGUAGCUAUUACAGCAUACCAUCAGAUGUGCCCAGAUGGGAUUAGCUAGUAGGUGGGGUAAUGGCUCACCUAGGCGCCGCUCCCUAGCUGGGCUGAGAGGAUGACCAGCCACACUGGAACUGAGACACGGUCCAGACUCCUACGGUAGGCAGCAGUGGGGAAUAUUGCACAAUGGGCGCAAGCCUGAUGCAGCCAUGCCGCGUGUGUGAAGAAGGCCUUCGGGUUGUAAAGCACUUUCAGCGAGGAGGCGUUACUCGCAGAAGAAGCACCGGCUAACUCCGUGCCAGCCGCCGCGGUAAUAC
rnacentral:rRNA from 1 species